GGGGAAUUUUGGACAGUGGGCGCAAGCCUGAUCCAGCAAUGCCGCGUGCAGGAUGAAGGCCUUCGGGUUGUAAACUGCUUUUGUACGGAACGAAAAAGCUCUCUCUAAUACAGGGGGUGAAUGACGGUACCGUAAGAAUAAGCACCGGCUAACUACGUGCCAGCAGCCGCGGUAAUACGUAGGGUGCAAGCGUUAAUCGGAAUUACUGGGCGUAAAGCGUGCGCAGGCGGUUUUGUAAGACAGAGGUGGAAUCCCCGGGCUCAACCUGGGAACUGCCUUUGUGACUGCAAAGCUGGAGUGCGGCAGAGGGGGAUGGAAUUCCGCGUGUAGCAGUGAAAUGCGUAGAUAUGCGGAGGAACACCGAUGGCGAAGGCAAUCCCCUGGGCCUGCACUGACGCUCAUGCACGAAAGCGUGGGGAGCAAACA
rnacentral:rRNA from 1 species